rnacentral:tRNA from 1 species
UAAAAACUUAAGUUAAUUUAAAACUCUAAACCUUCAAAGUUUGAUAUAUGACCCACUUCAUAGUUUUUG